rnacentral:rRNA from 1 species
GAUCUCACUUGUGGGGGGAUUAGUGGCGAACGGGUGAGUAACACGUGAGUAACCUGCCCUUGACUCUGGGAUAAGCCUGGGAAACUGGGUCUAAUACCGGAUAUGACUGAUCAUCGCAUGGUGGUUGGUGGAAAGCUUUUGCGGUUUUGGAUGGACUCGCGGCCUAUCAGCUUGUUGGUGGGGUAAUGGCCUACCAAGGCGACGACGGGUAGCCGGCCUGAGAGGGUGACCGGCCACACUGGGACUGAGACACGGCCCAGACUCCUACGGGAGGCAGCAGUGGGGAAUAUUGCACAAUGGGCGCAAGCCUGAUGCAGCGACGCCGCGUGAGGGAUGACGGCCUUCGGGUUGUAAACCUCUUUCAGUAGGGAAGAAGCGUAAGUGACGGUACCUGCAGAAGAAGCGCCGGCUAACUACGUGCCAGCAGCCGCGGUAAUACGUAGGGCGCAAGCGUUAUCCGGAAUUAUUGGGCGUAAAGAGCUCGUAGGCGGUUUGUCGCGUCUGCCGUGAAAGUCCGGGGCUCAACUCCGGAUCUGCGGUGGGUACGGGCAGACUAGAGUGAUGUAGGGGAGACUGGAAUUCCUGGUGUAGCGGUGAAAUGCGCAGAUAUCAGGAGGAACACCGAUGGCGAAGGCAGGUCUCUGGGCAUUAACUGACGCUGAGGAGCGAAAGCAUGGGGAGCGAACAGGAUUAGAUACCCUGGUAGUCCAUGCCGUAAACGUUGGGCACUAGGUGUGGGGGACAUUCCACGUUUUCCGCGCCGUAGCUAACGCAU